rnacentral:rRNA from 1 species
UCGCCUGUUUAUCAAAAACAUCGCCUCUUGAAUAAGUAUAAGAGGUCCCGCCUGCCCAGUGACCCCAGUUCAACGGCCGCGGUAUCCUAACCGCGCGAAGGUAGCGUAAUCACUUGUUCUUUAAAUUAGGACUAGUAUGAACGGCACCACGAGAGUUAAGCUGUCUCCUUUUUCCAAUCAGUGAAACUAAUCUCCCCGUGAAGAAGCGGGGAUACAACUAUAAGACGAGAAGACCCUAUGGAGCUUAAAAUUUUAUUUCAACUGCCGCACCCAUAAAAGUUCCGACUACCCAUAAUUUACUUAGCAUUAUGAUAAUAAAUUUUAGGUUGGGGCGACCAUGGAGAAUAAAAAAACCUCCACAUUGAAUAUAGGCCUCUUAGCCUUGAGCCAAGAGCUACGACUCGAUGUACUAAAACAUUAACAUCCAUUGACCCAAUUAUUUGAUCAACGAACCAAGUUACCCUAGGGAUAACAGCGCAAUCCACUUUAAGAGCCCCUAUCGACAAGUGGGUUUACGACCUCGAUGUUGGAUCAGGGUAUCCCAGUGGUGCAGCCGCUACUAAAGGUUCGUUUGUUCAACGAUUAAAACCCUACGUGAUCUGAGUUCAGACCGGAGCAAUCCAGGUCAGUUUCUAUCUAUAAAGAGCUUCUUCUAGUACGAAAGGACCAAAAAAGCAUGGCCUAUACCUCAAGCAAGCCAUAGUAAGUAAUUUGUGAUUUGAACUCAACAAACAACUCACCUUCUACUAACCUCAAAACAAGAGAA